UACGAAGGGGGGCUAGCGUUGCUCGGAAUCACUGGGCGUAAAGCGCACGUAGGCGGCUUACUAAGUCAGGGGUGAAAUCCUGGAGCUCAACUCCAGAACUGCCUUUGAUACUGGUGAGCUUGAGUCCGGAAGAGGUGAGUGGAACUGCGAGUGUAGAGGUGAAAUUCGUAGAUAUUCGCAAGAACACCGGUGGCGAAGGCGGCGCUCUGGACCGAGACUGACGCUGAGGCGCGAAAGCGUGGGGAGCAAACAGG
rnacentral:rRNA from 1 species